rnacentral:rRNA from 1 species
GGUGAGUAACACGUGGGUAACCUGCCUGUAAGACUGGGAUAACUCCGGGAAACCGGAGCUAAUACCGGAUAGUUCCUUGAACCGCAUGGUUCAAGGAUGAAAGACGGUUUCGGCUGUCACUUACAGAUGGACCCGCGGCGCAUUAGCUAGUUGGUGGGGUAAUGGCUCACCAAGGCGACGAUGCGUAGCCGACCUGAGAGGGUGAUCGGCCACACUGGGACUGAGACACGGCCCAGACUCCUACGGGAGGCAGCAGUAGGGAAUCUUCCGCAAUGGACGAAAGUCUGACGGAGCAACGCCGCGUGAGUGAUGAAGGUUUUCGGAUCGUAAAGCUCUGUUGUUAGGGAAGAACAAGUGCGAGAGUAACUGCUCGCACCUUGACGGUACCUAACCAGAAAGCCACGGCUAACUACGUGCCAGCAGCCGCGGUAAUACGUAGGUGGCAAGCGUUGUCCGGAAUUAUUGGGCGUAAAGGGCUCGCAGGCGGUUUCUUAAGUCUGAUGUGAAAGCCCCCGGCUCAACCGGGGAGGGUCAUUGGAAACUGGGAAACUUGAGUGCAGAAGAGGAGAGUGGAAUUCCACGUGUAGCGGUGAAAUGCGUAGAGAUGUGGAGGAACACCAGUGGCGAAGGCGACUCUCUGGUCUGUAACUGACGCUGAGGAGCGAAAGCGUGGGGAGCGAACAGGAUUAGAUACCCUGGUAGUCCACGCCGUAAACGAUGAGUGCUAAGUGUUAGGGGGUUUCCGCCCCUUAGUGCUGCAGCUAACGCAUUAAGCACUCCGCCUGGGGAGUACGGUCGCAAGACUGAAACUCAAAGGAAUUGACGGGGGCCCGCACAAGCGGUGGAGCAUGUGGUUUAAUUCGAAGCAACGCGAAGAACCUUACCAGGUCUUGACAUCCUCUGACAACCCUAGAGAUAGGGCUUUCCCUUCGGGGACAGAGUGACAGGUGGUGCAUGGUUGUCGUCAGCUCGUGUCGUGAGAUGUUGGGUUAAGUCCCGCAACGAGCGCAACCCUUGAUCUUAGUUGCCAGCAUUCAGUUGGGCACUCUAAGGUGACUGCCGGUGACAAACCGGAGGAAGGUGGGGAUGACGUCAAAUCAUCAUGCCCCUUAUGACCUGGGCUACACACGUGCUACAAUGGACAGAACAAAGGGCUGCAAGACCGCAAGGUUUAGCCAAUCCCAUAAAUCUGUUCUCAGUUCGGAUCGCAGUCUGCAACUCGACUGCGUGA